AUACAAACAGCCUUAUUCCCCCCCCCCCCCCGGCCGGGGCAGAGCAGGUUUAUCUCCAGUAACACAGACGCCCCUGAUAACCACCAGUUCUACCCACAUUUCCCUGGUUUCCGACCCCCCCCCCCCGGCCGCAUUGCAGGAAACAGGGAUAAAACCACGUUAAUAAAAAUAAAUGCAUUUACUGUGAGCUGCGCCCCCCCAUUCCCUGACAUGAACCCGAACUCCCAACAUCAAGGCACUUUAUUUCCCUUAUUAAUAUGUGCAGAAGGGGGGGGGGCACUCAGAUGGGCUGUUCCUGCUGAAUAGUGCUUAGUACAAGGCCAAGAUUCUUUCCAGACCCCCCCCCCCUUCCCUAUAUUUUCCUGAGAUUCCACAGUGGUCAGUAUAUCAAUUCUUCAUAAAUAACCUGAAUAUGUCAGAUCUCUUUGGGCAAAAAUUGGGGGCAACCGACUGUAUAUGUAGCACUUGCACCCUGAUCACUCUUAGUGCCCUUUGCCCCUCCCAUGAAUACAGCUCCGCCUACAUUUGGCAAAGUUGUAUUCAUGAGGGGCUGGCUGGGGGGCGUGUCCUAUGGCUAUGGCAGCAUUAAAGGG